GGAAGUAAAAGUCGAACAAGGUUUCCGUAGGUGAACCUGCGGAAGGAUCAUUAUUGUAUAACCGAGGUGCGAGGGCUGUCGCUGACCCGAAAGGUCGUGCACGCCCGAGUGCCCUCACACACAUCCAUCUCACCCCUAUGUGCACCACCGCGUGGGUCCCCCUUUGGCUUGUUCGGAGGGGGGCUUACGUUUUCACACAAACUUUGUAUGCAGUGUAGAAUGUAUUUUUUGUUUUUGCGAUCACGCAAUCAAUACAACUUUCAACAACGGAUCUCUAGGCUCUC
rnacentral:misc_RNA from 1 species